UACGUAGGGGGCAAGCGUUGUCCGGAUUUAUUGGGCGUAAAGAGCGUGUAGGCGGUUUGGUAGGUCCGCUGUGAAAACUCGAGGCUCAACCUCGAGACGCCGAUGGAAACCAUCUGACUAGAGCCCGGAAGAGGAGAGUGGAAUUCCUGGUGUAGCGGUGAAAUGCGCAGAUAUCAGGAAGAACACCCGUGGCUAAGGCGGCUCUCUAGUACGGUACUGACGCUGAGACGCGAAAGCGUGGGGAGCGAACAGG
rnacentral:rRNA from 1 species